CCUGACACCAUUAAUGUCAGAAAUUGAAAACUUCCACGAGUUUCCAACUUCAAAGUCAAUUUUUCUAAAAGUGAAAUACUACCACUAAAGCUGAACACACAUAACCAGGAGACCCUAAAAUAACAAUACCCAUUUGCAUGGGCGCCAUCUUACAUCACUUACUUAGGCACGUGACUUACCACAGACACACACCAACUGAUGACCCUAAACUACACCCCAAUACUCUAGACGAUCUCCAAUAUCUUGACACGUUGGCACAAACCACAAUUCAGCUGGCUAGGAAGGAUUAACAUCAUCAAAAUGAACAUCCUCCCGAGACUUCUAUACCUUUUCCAGACCCUCCCCAUCCACAUACCAAAACCAUUUUUAACAGACUUAAACAAAUACUCACCAAAUUCAUAUGGGCAAACAAACAGCUGAGGAUCUCACACGAUAUCUUAAUGUGGUCAAAGGCAAAGGGCUGCCUCGCCGUGCCCAACAUGUAUCAAUAUUACAAAGCCACCAUACUCACCAGGGUCUAUGAUUUCUUCCGAAUCCCGAUCCAUACAAUCCCAUGGCACUACUCAGGGUCGACCUACUUGGGAGCCAACCACAUCGCUCACUCUACCAUAGCACCCACACUGCGAAUGUGGAGACAAAUUAGGGAAACUAUGGGCAUCUCAACAUACCCAUCUCCCCUAUACCCCUUAACUUCAACCCCCUCUUCCCCCCAUGUUUGUGAAUAACAGAUGCUGAAGAAUGAACAGUUCUCCAUGAUGUACAAACUCCUGCAGGAGAACACGAAACACAUCUUGCCCAAUUUUACACAACAUUGGCCACAUGAACUUCAUAUAAAGAUCACAGAGGCAGACUGGGAUACUUUUCCGAACAGUUCACAAAUCGUCAAUAAACACGAGCACACAAGAGAGUCAUUAUAAAUGAAUCUCAAGAUGGCACUAUUCACCAACCAAAUUACAAAACAUGUACCCAAAUGCAGAAGGCAGGUGCUUGUGAUGCCAAAAGCCCAUAUCUGGUGGCAGUGCACAGAAAUACAGGUUUUCUGGAUUAGAAUAGUAAAAAUGAUUAAAACAGUAACGGGGUAGACCUACCAGUCAAUCCGAACUCACUUCUAUUCUUGAUGGGACCAGCCCUACUGCCCAAACACACCAGAACUCUGAUAACCCACCUCUGAUAGCCAAUCUAUUGAUCCCAGCCAAGUGGAAAAAUACAAACCCUCCUUCCACUAGGGAAUGGAUCCAGAAAACAGAAUCAAUCAGACUGAUGGAGGAGAUCCAUGCCUCUCUUUCCCACAAAUAUGACCUUUACCAUUUGACAUGGGAACCUUGGCUUACUUUUCUAACAAAAGCCCAGAAAUACUCAUAAGGCCAACAUACAGGACCACACAGAGACACCCCUGCCCUACCCAGCCCUAAAACCGGCCCAACAAUCAUAUUCCCCCCCCCUCGUCAGAACAUAGAAACACUGGGCAUUGUUAAUCCGUUAAUUAAAAUACCUGGGUUUUACAAUUUUGCACCCCCUGGGGGGAGGGAUAAGUAAGGAGGUGUGUGAAACCCUCGACCAGAAAGCUGGGAAUCUCCUGAUGUCUCCCCCAAUGCCAACAACCGGAUGAUACACAUCUCCCUGAUUCUCACUAUUACUGAACAAUUGUUAUUAUUAAAUGUUUUAUUGUUACCAGCCAUUGAUUACUAUGUUGGAGUUUAAUUGUGUUAUUGUGUCACAUUCUUUCAUUGUACAUGCCAUUUGAUGUGAGUUGUACUCAACCCUGUAUAAAAAUGUACUUAACUGGUAUGAAAAUGAAUAAAAACAAGUACAUUUAAAAAAGAAAAGGUGCUACAAGAGUUAACCCCUUAAGGACACAUGACGGAAAUAUUCCAUCAUGAUUCCCUUUUAUUCCAGAAGUGUCUUUAAGGGGUUAAAGAAAAUGAAUGUAAAUAAAGCUUCAGGGCCUGACGAUAUUCACCCACAAGUACUUAAGGAGGUAAGUGUGGAAAGAAGUGAACCUCUGUAUUUAAUCAUUUAAGAUUGUUUUGUUCCAGGAAUUGCAUCGGAG
rnacentral:lncRNA from 1 species